rnacentral:rRNA from 1 species
AUGGACAGAAAGAAAGAAACCCGGAAGUUACUGAGAAUUCUGAAGCAACAUCACCAAACAGGUAGACCAUGGCUAUGCAUUGGCGACUUUAAUGAAAUAUUGACAAGCAGUGAGAAGAUCGGCGGUGCGGAUCGCCCACAAAGAUACCUUGAUGAUUUUCGCCAAGCUCUGAACUAUUGUGAACUAGGAGAUACAGGUUUUGAAGGCGACAUGUUUACGUGGAGGAACCACAGCAGAUGUGAGAGAUUAGACCGUGCUACAGCAAAUGUUGAGUGGUGCGAGACCUUUCCAAGUUAUGUGGUGCUUAAUGGCGAACCGCGUCACUCUGAUCAUAGGCCUGUCAUU